rnacentral:rRNA from 1 species
UACGUAGGUGGCUAGCGUUGUCCGGAUUUACUGGGCGUAAAGAGCGCGCAGGCGGUCGUUCAAGUCGAGUGUGAAAGCCCCCGGCUCAACUGGGGAGGGUCACUCGAUACUGAUCGACUCGAAGGCAGGAGAGGGAAGCGGAAUUCCCGGUGUAGUGGUGAAAUGCGUAGAUAUCGGGAGGAACACCAGUGGCGAAGGCGGCAUCCUGGACCGGCAUUGACGCUGAGGAGCGAAAGCCAGGGGAGCAAACGGG